rnacentral:misc_RNA from 1 species
GUUUAUCUGAUGGAUCAUCGUCUGUCCCAGUUCCACAGGAAACUGGAAGUUCAUCCUCAUCUUCACAGAAACAAGUUAGCAGUAAUGCAUAUCCUAAUUCAACUCCAAAUCAUACAAUGCCAGCACGCCAGAGAUCAAUGAAGCGCAAUGGUGCUAACACAUCUUCCAACGGUGGCACUCCUCAGCCACCAGGAUCACAGCCUCUGAUAGGAGAAGUUCAUUUAAAUAACCCUUCUCCUAGGGAUCAUUCACAAAGGAAUUCACAAUCUCUAAUUGCUAAUAAUCACCCACAGCAGCAGCGCAAUUCAUUCAGGCGCAAUGGUGGGCCACAUUCACGAGGAGAUGGUUCUCACCAUCACAACUAUGGGGGCAGACGUGAUCAAGAUCGCACUAAUCAAGAUUGGAACACUCAGAGAAAUUUCAACGGCAGGGAUGCCCAUGUGCAGCCGCAGAGAGUUGUCCAAAGGUUUAUAAGGCAUCCGCCACCUCCACCACCACCCCCUACUACCACCCCCUUUAUUGGAUCCCCAGCAAUGCGGGCCUUAGGCAGUCCCAUUGGAUUCCAUGAAUUGUAUUAUGUUGCUGGUCUACCUCCAGACCCUCUCAGAGGCGUGCCUUUUGUUGCAGCACCAAUGCCGCCUCCUCUGUAUUUUACUUCUCCAGACCCUCAGUUGCAUUCUAAAAUAGUGAAUCAGAUAGAUUAUUAUUUCAG